GAUGAACGCUGGCGGCGUGCCUAGUACAUGCAAGUCGAGCGAACAGACGAGGAGCUUGCUCCUCUGACGUUAGCGGCGGACGGGUGAGUAACACGUGGAUAACCUACCUAUAAGACUGGGAUAACUUCGGGAAACCGGAGCUAAUACCGGAUAAUAUAUUGAACCGCAUGGUUCAAUAGUGAAAGACGGUUUUGCUGUCACUUAUAGAUGGAUCCGCGCCGCAUUAGCUAGUUGGUAAGGUAACGGCUUACCAAGGCGACGAUGCGUAGCCGACCUGAGAGGGUGAUCGGCCACACUGGAACUGAGACACGGUCCAGACUCCUACGGGAGGCAGCAGUAGGGAAUCUUCCGCAAUGGGCGAAAGCCUGACGGAGCAACGCCGCGUGAGUGAUGAAGGUCUUCGGAUCGUAAAACUCUGUUAUUAGGGAAGAACAAAUGUGUAAGUAACUAUGCACGUCUUGACGGUACCUAAUCAGAAAGCCACGGCUAACUACGUG
rnacentral:rRNA from 1 species